UACGUAGGGGGCAAGCGUUGUCCGGAAUCAUUGGGCGUAAAGAGCGUGUAGGCGGUUCGGUAAGUCCGCUGUAAAAGUCCAGGGCUCAACCCUGGAAAGCCGGUGGAAACUGUCGAACUAGAGUCCGGAAGAGGCGAGUGGAAUUCCUGGUGUAGCGGUGAAAUGCGCAGAUAUCAGGAAGAACACCCGUGGCUAAGGCGGCUCGCUAGUACGGUACUGACGCUGAGACGCGAAAGCGUGGGGAGCAAACAGG
rnacentral:rRNA from 1 species